UGAAGAAUACAGUGCCCCUUUCAGUUCUGGUACAGUAUACUCGAAUCCUAUGCCAACCUGAAGAAAGCAAAAGAGUCCCUGCUUGGGCCUCCAUACUAGACUGUUUUUUGAGUUUAACGUUUUCUAUUAUUAACUGGACUGAUUCAAGUACACUGUAGAAAUUCUUAACAGAAAAAAAAAUGCUAGUGAACUCUAAUUACUACUACCUGGACUAACUUGUUUUUAACUAAAUUCAUGAAUUUGAGAGAUGUAUUUGAGAGAGAACAUGAAGUUGGGUAGAGAGGAAGGCAGAAAGGACCUGAGAGGAGAAAGAAUAUGGGCAAGAUACAUAAAAUUCUUCAAGUUAAGAAAUACGUAUAGAAAAUUUGUGAGACAUAAAAAUGGAAUCACCUAAUGUUUACAUUCUAUACACACACAGUUUUCUAAGACACAUUUAAAUGUACAUUAAAUUCAACCGCACUGCAAUUAGUCAUGUGGCACGGCAGGAGAGCUCUCACACAGAAGAAAUUCCUUUGGGUUGAUUGACAGGCUCACUCUUUCACAACGAAUCAUUUUCGACAAUACCUUUGGUUCUCAUUUUUAAACUUGGAGAAAAUCUGAGAAAAUCUGAGAAAAUGUUUCGUCAUUAAAGAUAAUUAAAAUUAAAGAUUUAUAAUUAAAUAUUAGAAUUCGUUCUUUUGGUAGGU
rnacentral:lncRNA from 1 species